rnacentral:rRNA from 1 species
ACGGAGGAUGCGAGCGUUAUCCGGAUUUAUUGGGUUUAAAGGGAGCGCAGACGGGAGAUUAAGUCAGUUGUGAAAGUUUGCGGCUCAACCGUAAAAUUGCAGUUGAUACUGGUUUCCUUGAGUGCAGUUGAGGCAGGCGGAAUUCGUGGUGUAGCGGUGAAAUGCUUAGAUAUCACGAAGAACCCCGAUUGCGAAGGCAGCUUGCUAAACUGUUACUGACGUUCAUGCUCGAAAGUGUGGGUAUCAAACAG